GAUGAACGCUGGCGGCGUGCCUAAUACAUGCAAGUCGAACGCACAGCGAAAGGUGCUUGCACCUUUCAAGUGAGUGGCGAACGGGUGAGUAACACGUGGACAACCUGCCUCAAGGCUGGGGAUAACAUUUGGAAACAGAUGCUAAUACCGAAUAAACUACAGUGUCGCAUGACACAAAGUUAAAAAAGGUAACGGCGUUUGGUCGGUCACCUACGAGAUGGAGUCCGCGGUGG
rnacentral:rRNA from 1 species